CCUACGGGUGGCUGCAGUGGGGAAUUUUGCGCAAUGGGCGAAAGCCUGACGCAGCAACGCCGCGUGAGUGAUGAAGGCCCUCGGGUCGUAAAGCUCUGUCAGAGGGGAAGAAACUUUUGAGGGAGAAUAUCCCUUGAAACUGACGGUACCCUCAAAGGAAGCACCGGCUAACUCCGUGCCAGCAGCCGCGGUAAUACGGAGGGUGCAAGCGUUGUUCGGAAUUAUUGGGCGUAAAGCGCGUGUAGGCGGCUAUUUAAGUCUGAUGUGAAAGCCCGGGGCUCAACCUCGGAAGUGCAUUGGAAACUGGAUAGCUUGAGUACGGGAGAGGGUAGUGGAAUUUCGAGUGUAGGGGUGAAAUCCGUAGAUAUUCGAAGGAACACCGGUGGCGAAGGCGGCUACCUGGACCGAUACUGACGCUGAGACGCGAAAGCGUGGGGAGCAAACAGGAUUAGAUACCCUAGUAGUC
rnacentral:rRNA from 1 species